UACGGGGGGGGGCAAGCGUUGUUCGGAAUUACUGGGCGUAAAGGGCUCGUAGGCGGCCAACUAAGUCAGACGUGAAAUCCCUCGGCUUAACCGGGGAACUGCGUCUGAUACUGGAUGGCUUGAAUUUGGGAGAGGGAUGCGGAAUUCCAGGUGUAGCGGUGAAAUGCGUAGAUAUCUGGAGGAACACCGGUGGCGAAGGCGGCAUCCUGGACCAACACUGACGCUGAGUGAGCGAAAGCCAGGGGAGCAAACGGGG
rnacentral:rRNA from 1 species